rnacentral:rRNA from 1 species
CUUUCACAGAUUAUUUAACCAGAUAAGUUCUUCGGAAAACUGUUUGCAGCGAUGACUCCCCGGCUAGGGAAUCAGAGUUGAAUAAUGCGUGAAAGUACACGAGCGGCGGACGGCUGAGUAACACGUAGGAACGUACCCCAAAGUGAGGGAUAAGCACCGGAAACGGUGUCUAAUACCGCAUGUGAUCUUCGGAUUAAAGCUUCGGCGCUUUGGGAACGGCCUGCGCAUGAUUAGCUUGUUGGUGAGGUAAAAGCUCACCAAGGCGACGAUCAUUAGCUGGUCUGAGAGGAUGAUCAGCCAGACUGGGACUGAGAACGACCCAGACUCCUACGGGAGGCAGCAGUAGGGAAUUUUCCACAAUGGACGAAAGUCUGAUGGAGCAACGCCGCGUGCAGGAUGAAGGGUUUCGGCUCGUAAACUGCUUUUAUCUGUGAAGAUUAUGACGGUAGCAGAUGAAUAAGGAUCGGCUAACUCCGUGCCAGCAGCCGCGGUCAUACGGAGGAUCCAAGCGUUAUCCGGAAUUACUGGGCGUAAAGAGUUGCAUAGGUGGCACUGUAAGUUGGUAGUGAAAGCGUUCGGCUCAACCGAAUAAACAUUAUCAAAACUGCAGAGCUAGAGGAUGAGAGAGGUUAUUGGAAUUCCUAGUGUAGGAGUGAAAUCCGUAGAUAUUAGGAGGAACACCGAUGGCGUAGGCAGGUAACUGGCUCAUUCCUGACACUAAGGCACGAAAGCGUGGGUAGCAAACGGGAUUAGAUACCCCGGUAGUCCACGUUGUAAACGAUGGAUGCUAGCUGUAUUCGGUAUCGACCCCGGAUGUAGCGAAGCUAACGCGUUAAGCAUCCCGCCUGUGGAGUACGGUCGCAAGACUAA